CCCUUAGAUGUUCUGGGCCGCACGCGCGCUACACUGACGAAUGCAACGAGCUUAUAACCUUGGCCGAAAGGUCUGGGUAAUCUCCAAAUUUCGUCGUGAUGGGGAUAGAUUAUUGCAAUUAUUAAUCUUCAACGAGGAAUGCCUAGUAAGCGCAAGUCAUCAGCUUGCGUUGAUUACGUCCCGGCCCUUUGUACACACCGCCCGUCGCUCCUACCGAUUGAAUGGUCCGGUGAAGCGUUCGGACCGUGGCCUUUGGACGGUUCGCCGUCUGUUGGCUGCGGGAAGUUCGUUAAACCUUAUCAUUUAGAGGAAGGAGAAGUCGUAACA
rnacentral:rRNA from 1 species